AUGAACGCUGGCGGCGUGCCUAAUACAUGCAAGUCGAGCGAACAGACGAGGAGCUUGCUCCUUCGACGUUAGCGGCGGACGGGUGAGUAACACGUAGGUAACCUACCUAUAAGACUGGGAUAACUUCGGGAAACCGGAGCUAAUACCGGAUAAUAUUUCGAACCGCCUGGUUCGAUAGUGAAAGAUGGCUUUGCUAUCACUUAUAGAUGGACCUGCGCCGUAUUAGCUAGUUGGUAAGGUAACGGCUUACCAAGGCAACGAUACGUAGCCGACCUGAGAGGGUGAUCGGCCACACUGGAACUGAGACACGGUCCAGACUCCUACGGGAGGCAGCAGUAGGGAAUCUUCCGCAAUGGGCGAAAGCCUGACGGAGCAACGCCGCGUGAGUGAUGAAGGUCUUCGGAUCGUAAAACUCUGUUAUUAGGGAAGAACAAACGUGUAAGUAACUGUGCACGUCUUGACGGUACCUAAUCAGAAAGCCACGGCUAACUACGUG
rnacentral:rRNA from 1 species